UUUAAAUGACGGUUCAAACAUUAUUAUUUGUUUCAGCUCUAUUAAAUUAAGUGGUUUCCCAAGAGUUCCAUGCGCUAAUGACUGUAUUGUAUGUAUCAAAAUAGGCUCAAGCGAAAAUAAACUUUUAUGUCCACAACUAAGAAUGGACGGACAAGCACUUUCAUUUUCUGCUGCUGAUGAAAAUAGCCAAAAUGUCGGAAAGAAAAACCAAACUAAAGGAACGAAAGGACAGGCAAUGAAAGACAUUGAGGCCUUCGGGGAAACCCUAUAUUAAUCAUAAGGGGCAAAAAAACUGGGAAAACUUGUCCAAAAGAGCAAGGUGAGUUGUCACUGGGGUCAGACGGACAGUGGUGGUGUUGGGUGGCCUUACCUCCAGUGACGGAGCCGGUGUGGAGCCAGAGAGACAACAGCAGCGUGCUGAUCAGCUGGGCAUGUGGUAUCCUAUGGCUGUCCUGCUCCGUUGGUCGGUCUGGCCUGAUGCUGAAAGUGGAAAGAGCGGUUUGUAUGUGGGACACUGGCUCUUCUAGGUCUAUAGACAUUGGCACACAUCCGCUAGUUCCAGACCGCAGGAUUCUGCACAUGCACAGAUACAAUAGAACCAUCCAUCGAUUGGUGGAAUGAAUCUGUCUCCAGCCCGCCCGGGUAGGCCAUUGUCAUGACAACCGCUUUGAUUUUUGUAGUACUUUCUCUUAGUUGGGUGUAUUGCUGCUCAGUGCAUGUCAUUGAUCUGGAUCUGUAUAGCAGGCCUUGGGCGGACAUAGCUGCGAUGUGAAGGAUAUAGAGUAUUAGGAAGGUGCUAGGAUAGAGCUUCUUCGCUGGCAAAGGAACUACUACAUCAAUUGAUGGUAAAAUGUCAUGCUGUGGUGUACAAAACAAAUCUAUGUGCCUGAGUGUGUUAGUGCGUGUUUGUUCGUGUGUGUGUGUUAGUACAUGUGUGUGUGCAUGUGACCUGCUCUGAGCCAACCAAAAUAUCAACAUUUUCUAAAUAAUAUACAGUAUAUCUCAUUCAAUUAUUUAAUCAUAGCUAGUAUGCUGGCAUCAUCAGGUUACUAUACAAAUGGGACAAUUGAGGCCAUUGAACGUAUUGACUAGGUUUGGUAGUGUUAGUCUGCACAUUACAUUGUAUAUGUGUUUGUGUGUCAGUGUUACCAGCGAGCUCAGUCCCUAUGCGUGACACAGUGACCCAAGCCAAUAAUGUAUCUAAGGCUUCAGGCGAGAUCACGUUUAAUUAAUUAGAGAGACAAUAAAUGAGGCAAUCAAUGGUCAAUCGUUCCAUCUGUUUGUGUAGAGCAAACAUCUUUUGGAAUGUGACCUAUACACAGACAAAACACAGAUCUUAUGACCCCACUAAAGAAUGAUAAUUUAAGUUUAGGCAUAGGGGAGAGUGGGGUACAUUAAGCCAAAUGGGUAAGUUUGUUUCUAGAAAUAUAUACACCAAAUUAAUAAUUUGACAAAAUAUUUAAGAAGAUGUUAUCAUUUCAUGGAGUUUGUGAAGGAACCAACCAAAUGGAAAAAGUGUUAAGUUAGGUAUAAAAAAACAGAUUUUUAUGGAGACCCCCCUUAUUGGGGUCUCCAUAAGCUUCAAUAUGAGGUCCUAAACAUAGUAUGAAAGUGCAUCCUGAGAUAUAUAGUUAAAAUGUUGGCCAUGAGGUAAGUUGAGCAAUUAGAUGUUUUUUGUUCCAAGGCACUAUCACUGGAAUAUAUAUAUAUAUAUAUAUGUUUACCUUUAUUUAACUAUGCAGGUCAGUUAAGAACAAAUUCUUAUUUUCAACGAUGGCCUCGGAACAGUGGGUU